GGUGGAUAGCUCAGAGGAAAGAGCAGCGGACUAACACUCCGCGGGUCGCCGGUUCGAUUCCGGCUCCAACCGCAA
rnacentral:tRNA from 1 species